CCUUUGCCAUGCUAUUUCAGAGGACAUUCGCGCGAUCUUACUCAGUGUACAGUCGACAAUAGGCUCAUAAUAUGCCUAUUCCCAGUCGACUUGACAUAGUUGACUGAAAAUUUCUUUCGAUAUUAAGUCAACUAACAGCCAACGGUGUGCUACCUGGGACAUGAGUGAUCGGCCUGGUCCCAAGGAACAAUAGAAUCCCCGAAUUCGUGACGUACCUACACAGAAAAGUUGCUCCGAGACAAUCGGUAAUGAUCUUCUCUACUGGGGAGUUAUACUUCAACUGAAACAACCAAAUGUAGGAUGAAGAACUGAAAAGGAUUGGUUCUUUCGUAGCCGGUACUUCCUAAUUAAGACCCGGGUGCCGCGUUGAGCUGAUAGGGAUGGGUCACGUGUGGAUGCGCCGAUUACGCGGCUUUAAGAACGCUUCAAGUAACGCAUACAAACUGCAAGAUUAUUACGCAGGCAAAGCUAAGAUAGAUCAUACAUACGAUAAGGACAAAGAUUACGUUAAAUCAGAAUUAUUUUAUUUUGCCGUGACUUGAACCGGGGAUCAAACGAUUGUAAAAUUCAUCUAAAAUCUGAAAUUAUUCUGGAUUACUGAAAAAUUUUCCCUCGAUAUCCAAUAAUUUCAUCAAUUUUAUUCAAAGCCAUUAUCAUUCAACGAACAUUCUUUUCAGGCGAAACUACCCACCUGGUGAUGGAUACCCGUUAUAUCGAUCACGCUGAUAAGAUCGCAUCGUAAAAGAAAAUUCAAGCACGUAAUUUUAGUUAGUCUACACGUUAUGGUCUUCCUUGGGUUGGCCAAGUGAAAGGGAGUCACCCACUCACAGCCCCUUAAUAACGGCAAAGAGGGCAUAUUUUUAAGAGGAUUGGUCUUUUUCUUCUUGCUUGUGAAACGAUCAACCUUUUUUCUAACGUUGUACGAUGUAUUUGUGAAUCUAGAAAACGGAUCGUAUUCCGACUGCAUGUUGUCGUUUCAGAGUUGAGUUCGUGUGAACAGGCUCUUCAGGCCGAGAAAUGCAGGACGGUGAAUAGAAAGUUUUCCCAAUGGAUGGGUAUACAAAUACCAGAAUAUCCUCGGGUUUCUUGGUUUACCGUCACCUUGUAAACAGCGGAUGCCAUUAUACCUGAAUGUAGCCAAUAUGCUCACCAGAUGUGCCCUGCCGUAAAUUGAAACCUCAAUGACAAUGAAAAUUGUUUCAAAGCCUUCCCAACCACUGACGUCACAACCGAAGUGGAACGAAUAAUCUUUUAGCCCUACACUUAUUCUAUGAAAGGAAAAUGCUGAGUUGCCAGGAAACAACUCAGCAUUGUAUGAGACAUAGUCACUGCAGUGUGAGGAUUUGAGAUACAUUCAGCUGUACUUUUCGAAAAAUAAGUGUAAAUUAUCAACAAUUCUAUCGAAAAUAAAUUAUAUUAUAAACAA
rnacentral:lncRNA from 1 species